rnacentral:rRNA from 1 species
UACGUAGGUGGCAAGCGUUGUCCGGAAUUAUUGGGCGUAAAGCGCGCGCAGGCGGUCCUUUAAGUCUGAUGUGAAAGCCCACGGCUCAACCGUGGAGGGUCAUUGGAAACUGGGGGACUUGAGUACAGAAGAGAAGAGUGGAAUUCCACGUGUAGCGGUGAAAUGCGUAGAGAUGUGGAGGAACACCAGUGGCGAAGGCGACUCUUUGGUCUGUAACUGACGCUGAGGCGCGAAAGUGUGGGGAGCAAACAGG